AAGUCGUAACAAGGUAACCGUAGGUGAACCUGCGGUUGGAUCAUUAACAAGUUUGGCUCCGGCCUAACUCUGUGCACUGUAGUGUUUUUGGGCUGGAGACAGCCCAGAGCAAACACCUAAAGAAUGACUGAAAAAGAGAAAAGAAACAACUUUUGACAACGGAUCUCUUGGCUCUC
rnacentral:misc_RNA from 1 species